rnacentral:misc_RNA from 1 species
UCUCCGUAGGUGAACCUGCGGAGGGAUCAUUACACGAUUGGCUGGGGCCUCCGGGCCCCACCCGUUCACCCUUUGUAUAUCAACCCAUGUUUCCUCGGGGGUCACCCGUCCCAGCGGGUCCCCCGGCGGCUCCAUCGAAACUCGUUUUAUCUUGCGUCUGAGUCACAGUUAAAUCUAAACAAAACUUUCAACAACGGAUCUCUUGGUUUUCGCAUCGAUGAAGAACGCAGC